UGGAUAAAUAUUGACCACUUGUUGCAUGUGAGUCAUGGAUCGUGACUGCAGGUCUGGGAGUCUGAGGGUCAC
ensembl:snoRNA